rnacentral:piRNA from 1 species
UGUCUUUGAGCUCAAGGACUCUUGGUGU